rnacentral:rRNA from 1 species
UACGGAGGGUGCGAGCGUUGUCCGGAUUUAUUGGGUUUAAAGGGUGCGUAGGCGGUUGUAUAAGUCAGUGGUGAAAUGCUGAUGCUUAACAUUAGAAUUGCCAUAGAUACUGUAUAGCUAGAGUAUAAAUGAGGUAGCUGGAACGAGUGGUGUAGCGGUGAAAUGCAUAGAUAUCACUCAGAACACCGAUUGCGAAGGCAGGCUACUAAUUUAUAACUGACGCUGAGGCACGAAAGCAUGGGGAUCAAACAGG